UCAUUGUCCUAUGGUGUGAUGUCAUCAUCCUUUGAUGUGAUGUCAUCGUCCUUUGAUGUGAUGUCAUCGUCCUUUGAUGUUUUCACACAUUCUGGAACAUUAGGCUAGUAUGGAUAGACACAUUGAAGCGUGCUGCUACAAUACAAUCACAGUUGACAUCUCUAAUCAGUUGGAUAUUUGUAACAUACAUAUUUUUUUCUUCAAAAUAAUGCUUCUUUUCAAGAAUAUGGCUGGUAUUAAUCUGUAUUUGUUUUUAACUUUAAAAAUAAAUUAUUGU